AAGCUCGGUAACUUCUGAAGGAUGCUGGGGAGGGAAAUAGGGUGGAGUGGUGAAAAAUCUUACCUCCGAGAGGUAGUAGUUGGGUGAAUUUCAUGAAAGGUGAGUCUUGGUGAGCUGUACUUACGUUACCAUGGCAUCCAUAAAUUACUCCAGUGUGAAUGCUUAUAAGUAUCAAUGGUGAAUUAUUCCGGGUAAGGUGGUGCGUGAGAACAGGUCUGCAUGCUGUUAGCCUGGCUGUUUGUUUUUAUGUGAGAAGUAUGUUAAUUGCCGCCUUUUGUAUGUUGUAUAUAAUUAUCCAUGCUGUAAGCAUGAGCUCGGUAGCACAGGAGAGGCAGGCUUUUUUAACCUGUUGUACUUGCAUCGAGGCUUUGGAAGACUACAUAAAAUGCACGUAUUAAAACUGAAGCUUGGCUCUCCAUGACUGAUUUUCGAGUGAAGUUUCUCCUCUUGUUAUUUUUUGUGCUUAAACGGUUUCUUUACUAGUUGUGCUAUAUCUCACUGUGCACAACUUCAGGAAACCUAAUUCAAAAGGAGAGAUGCCAAAACUAGAAGGUAGAAAAUCUUGUCUGGGGUUUCCAGCGUGCCUCCUGUGUUACAGCUGAAAGAUAAAAGCUCUUUCAGUGCUGCUAGACCAGACAAGUGGUUUCAGAGCAUUUCAACAUGAUUAAAGGAAACUUUAAACUUCUGCCCAAUAAUUAAUACAUGCUGCUCUUGUGUGCUUAAUCUGAAAUCGGUAAGUUUUAUUUUUCAGGCUUUUGCUGCUGAAUUUGUUCAGCUUGGGGUGAGUACUCCUGUGAAUCUGCCGAGGUUUAUUUCAGAACUCGAUGUACAAAUGUCAGGCCUGCACUGGUGUAUGUGAUCUGUCAUUUCCAAUUACUUUGUGCAGCAGGACUGUCUCGGGCGCAGAAUGUUUUAAAUUCUCGUGUUACUUUUGAAUGAGCAGAAAAGAGCAUCUGUGUUAGCAAUUAAAAUCUUCAGCCAGAAGUAGGAAAUUAAUUUUUAACUGGACAGGCAAACUUGUUUGGAAAUUAGGGUGGUGUUUGCAAAAAAGCAUCCAUUUUGUGUUACUGCAUCGUGCCUUUCUAUCCUCUGUGCAGCUGGAGUAAAAAACAAACAUGCUGAGUCCCUUGUGGUGUUUUGUUUUUUGGGUUUUUUUUUUUUUCAGCUGCUUAUAAUGUUCACUCUUCUAUCACUUGCUAUAUUCUCCAAGUCUACUCCUGAAUUGUUUGACUUGUCAAACUCAUCAUCCUUCCCAGACUUUUUCAAGCUUAACUGAUUGUAGAAUGUGCUUUUUAUUAACAUUGAGGCAAUAGAAUCUGAGAGAAUACUCCUGUUUAGUAGGGGAAUAAAGUUUUGCUGCCAGGUUUUAAAUAUAUAUGCUCUUAAACAUGCUUAGCAAUCUGCUUAUGUGAGCAUCAUGAGUUUUUACAUUUAAAGUGGAAUGAUUUUUUUUUUUUUUUCUUUAGGAUGAAAGUAGUUGAAGAUCUGAAUUGUGAGGGACAGAUGAAAUUAAGCUGCAGAAGCACUGAUGGCAAUCUACAAAGCUUUAAUGUGUUAAUGUAGUCUAGGCAUUAUACAUAUUUAGAAGCAGUCUAGAUUGAAUCCUGGAGAAAAAGCAGAGUUAUUCAUAGGCUCCUGUCUUGAUCAUGUUUUCCUGUAAGUGAUGGAUGGUAUGAAACAGUGGUUUGAAGGAGAUGCUAAAAAUUAUUUUGCUGCUGUUAGAACUGUAUCAGAUGUUAAUUGCCCCCAAGUUCAGUAUUGGUUUAAAAAAAUACAGGGAAGGCUGGUAGAUGAAAGAAUGAUGUUUGCAAAAUUUCCUAGGCUUUGUGUAGACCUUCUCUUUUUUUUUUUUUGCCUUCAUGAAUUAUUCAAAUGUUCAAGUUUGGUAUAUUGCUGUAUUUAAUAUGUUUUAAACGAUAUUGCAUCAGUUAAUUUGGUGAAGGAGAAGAUCUGGGUGGACUGAUAAUUAAUCUACCGGGGGGAAGAGCAGCAGAGAAGCUAUUGACAUAGACUGAACAGUUUAUUUUAUACAAACAGGAGCAUUUUAGCAUCUGUUAAAAAGGGAUUUUGAUAGACCAGGGCUGAGAAGCUUUCUGGAGCUAGUGUCUCUAUUCUAGCACAUUGUUUUGGCCUGGCUGGAGCCUGUGAGUGCCCUGCCAUAUAAAGUAAUAAUUUAUAGGUUGUCAGUGGGGUUGAAAGAGAAUAAAGAGUGAAUGCAUUGAACUUCUAGAUCAAGAAGGGACCCUGUAGCAUCCAGAAGAAAACAGGUUAGUAUUAAUUUUAUUUUUACGCUUAAAUGUUGAACAGCCGUUGGCCAGAAACUAGGUGAAUACUCUGUUCCUGGCAGUGGGGAGUGUGGGGGCGUGCAGGUACAACUUCUUGAAGAAACUUUUACAAUACUGGUGAAAACAGAAUGCUUUGCCUGUACGUUCCCUCAUCUCACUCACUGCUAGGGGCACCAGGCUACUACAGGCAGGAGCAACCCACUGGCUGCACCCUCGUGGUGAAUGUGCCUGUGGAUACCAGGUCGUGUCUUUGACUUCUGCGUCAGUCUUUCAUGUAACACCUCCAGGUCAGUAUUACCUUUCCAAAGCAGCCAAGGGCAUUGCAGAUUAUUUUUGGAGGCUGAUACCCUUCUGUGAAGUCUUCCCAUCCUUGUUGAUGCCCUCAAUUCAUGUUUCCGAAGCUGGUUGUUAUAUUAGUUUUUUCUGUAGUAAUUCAGUGAUGCUUUCUUAAUCUACUCGUGUUUCAGUGGUAAGUGUUCAGCUGUCAUAAUUAGGAUGAAGUCUUUCUAGGCUGCCUGACCUAUCAUAUAUUUAAAUAAGUGGGUCUGCACAUCUAUAGCACACCUGCUGAAUUUUAAGAUUAGCUCUGUCAGUCCCCUGGUAGAGUGCAGGUGGAUUGCAGAAGAACUUUAAGCUUUCCAUUUUAUAUUUCUGCUUUGUGUUAAUGAAGACUUCACCUAACUUUUAACUGCAGCAUCUGGAAAACGGUCAUUUCAGAAGGUUGUUCUGAACAUUGCUCAGACGAGGGGGUGUUUCAGCCCUGUGACCAUCCUGGCCAUUCUGUGCGGUCACCUCUCAGCUCAUCAGGCGCUUCAGGGAUCUGAUGCACCAUGGCUGGGUGCAAGGAGAUCAUUGCAACGAGCCUGUUAAUUGCUUCUCGAGUGACCUAGUUCCCUUGCUGGAAACAGAUGCGUAAGCUUUCCCUUCCUCCUCCGUAUUUUAUGAUCGUAGUGGAGUCUAGACUGGCAUAUCCAGAGCCGCUUCCUUGGUGGGGUGGUUUGUUUGUUUUGUUUUCCAGAGGACCAGCUUCUGUUUGGAAAUUUCCACAAGCUCAGUGUGUUUUGUGUUGUUUGCCUGCAGAGGUGAGGUGGGCUGUGUUUUGGGGACUGUGCCCAAGCACACCUUUCCGUAGCUGCUGUGGAAAUGUCACAUCACCAUAUUUUGUUAACCUAAUGUGGGAAUUUGCUUCUCCAAGCAGAUGGCAAAAAGGUGGUUUAGUUAAUUUGUACCUACUUGAAAUAAGUCACUAGAUGUGUGUUAAACCGCUCAUUUAUUAGUCCGGAGCAUAUCACUGGUGGAUAAGUGGUGAUGUUAGAUUACAGGCUCAAAAUACAGAGGAACUGGGCAGGUAUCUGCAACUAAAACAAAACCAGAAAAGGUGUUAAACUGACCUGCAGCCAUUAGAGCCUUGUAAAUAAUCAGCCUUUAGAAGGGAGAGCAAUGGCUCUUUCCUCUGAGAAAAACUUGCCUCACAAAGAAUUUUUCUACUAAAUUCAGCAUUUCUUCUAUAAAAUCUCUCUUGUGCUGUUUGCUUGCAGACUUGGCUUGUGGGGUAAUAUACAUCUGAUGGUCACUGAGAUGAUACCAGGUGCAUGCUGGCUUUUAUUUGCCCGGUUGGGCAUGGUUCCAUGCUGCACUCAGCCUAGUAUUAGUCCUCUGUCAUCGGAAAAAAGAUCUCCCAUUGCAGUCAAAAAACGGUCUUUCAACAGUGUCCUUCACACAAGGUGACUCUCGAGAGCUAGCAACCUCUCAAACGGGAAGAUACAGCCACUGACAGUUUCUUUGAGAUGAAUACGGCAUUAACAUUCUCUCUGGCAGCUUUGCUAAUGGCAUUUUGUAUGUCUUGCUCACAAGCAAAUACUUUGUCUUCACGUCCAUCUAACAACAUUAAGCCUUACAAGCGUGUUUCCUGUAACGCAUGGGCUAGCUCCAGCUAAAAUGGAAAGACUUUCGGAUCAAACUUGUUGCUCUGCAGGAAGUUACCUUAAUGGAGGUAGUCAGCUUAACACAUCUUGAUGGUUAGGGUUAACAAAUUGUAUAUCAAUCCCCGUGUUUUCCGUGGUGGAGUGAUGGCAUGGCAGCCCACAGCCCUUUCUGCCUCCGGCUGUACGACGUGGUGGGAAGACAGUGUUGAUGUCUUCUCCUCUAAAAUAUCAGGAACCCACCUGGCUUUGUGUAAUGCUCGGCAGCUGGUGGUGUCAGCAGUGCAAAGGGCAGAAGGAACCAGUAGAUUUAGCUUUUCGUGCCUUUACUUGGCACCUUCCAGGCACCAUCUUUUCUGAAAAUUAUCAGCGAAGCUAGGAAAGAAGUAAAAAAUGCUCUGUUUGCAUUAUUAGUCAAUGCUUAUACUGCGCAGAAUAGAAAUGCUUAUAAUGCAUAAAACAGAAAUGCUUAUAUAUGCACAGAAUACUAAAUGCUUACGUUUCUGCUUAAAACGUUUACUUUGAAAAUUCUUUUUAUUUAAAUUUGCAGUAAAGCUGCUAGCACAGAAAUGCCAUGAAUCGCUUUAUCCUGUCUGUAUAUGCAGUCCCUUUCUGCAGUGCAUAUUGCUGAAUGUGUUCAGCAUAAACAGUAUAAUCAGCGAAACUAUUGUUAAUGCUUAAUUGCUAACUGAAUCUUUGCAUGUUUGCAGAAUUUUUUGGCAAUGACAUUGCCAGUUGCUCAAAAGAAAAACACCCCAGAAAGAGCCCACGUGUGAGUAAAUUAUGCUUGCGGUGCUGCAUCUGACAGUGGCAGACCUAUCAUUAAUAGUACAAACUUUUCAAAAUAACUAAGAUGCAACAAUAAAGCCACAACAAAUAUUAAAUACAUACUAAAUAACUUGUUAUAAAAUUUCAGAUAAUGCUUUGAAGUGUAUUGCUAAUAAACCAUUUUUACAGUGGUGUUGAUGA